ACUCAAAUGAAUUGACGGGGACUUGCACAAGCGGUGGAUUAUGCGGUUCAAUUCGAUGAUAAACGAAAAACCUUACCAAGGUUAGAAAUCUAAGUGAAGACAAGUAGAAACAUUUGUCGUCCGCAAGGACUCUUAGACAGGUGAUGCAUGGCCGUCGUCAGUUCGUGGUUUGAGUUGUUCCCUUAAGUGGGGUAACGAACGCAACCCUCGUUGGCUGUUACAAGUGUCAGCCGAGACCGCCCAGCUUUUAGCGCAUUAAGAUUUAGUGCAUUGAAAGCUGGGAGGAAGUGAGGAUGACGCCAGGUCAGCAUGUCCCUCUGACACCUUGGGCUACACGCAUAAUACAAUGGCAGAUACAACAGGUCGCGACGUCGUAAGACUGAGCUAAUCCUUAUAAAGUCUGCCUAAGUUCGGAUUGGGGGCUGCAACUCGACCCCAUGAAGUUGGAAUCGCUAGUAAUCGCAGGUCAGCUAUACUGCGGUGAAUACGUUCUCAAGUCUUGUACACACCGCCCGU
rnacentral:rRNA from 1 species